rnacentral:lncRNA from 1 species
UUCUGACAUCAAGUGCUUCCAGUCCCUUCCCAAAUGUAAUUGCGGGGGAUCGAAUCGUGGUCCUCCCUACCAAGUUCACCGUCAAUCACCACUGAACCAACUAAUUUUGCCAUUUUUCGUCUCAGUUUCAUCUCAUUUGUCAACUAUAUAUAAUUAUAAUCUUUCUAUCAAGCAUAAGUUCUAUUACAAGUACUUAGAAGUAAUAAUAUAGCCUAUAAAUAUAUCCCUUUCGAAUUUUUCAUAUAAAUUAAAAAUUUAUUUAUCUUUUUUUAUUUAACAUUUGGAAGUUUUUUUUUCUUUAUUUUUCAUAUAAAUUGAGAAUCUAUUUUUCCUUUUUUAUUUAUCAUUUGGAAU